AACGAACGCUGGCGGCAUGCCUAACACAUGCAAGUCGAACGAGCCCUUCGGGUCUAGUGGCGCACGGGUGCGAAACGCGCGGGAACAUGCCCUUAGGUUCGGGAUAACUCCCCGAAAGGGGUGCUAAUACCGGAUAAUGUCUCCGGACCAAAGAUUUAUCGCCUUUGGAUGGGCCCGCGUGGGAUUAGCUAGUUGGUAGGGUAAAAGCCUACCAAGGCGACGAUCCCUAGCUGGUCUGAGAGGAUGAUCAGCCACACUGGGACUGAGACACGGCCCAGACUCCUACGGGAGGCAGCAGUGGGGAAUAUUGGACAAUGGGCGAAAGCCUGAUCCAGCAAUGCCGCGUGAGUGAUGAAGGCCUUAGGGUUGUAAAGCUCUUUUACCCGGGAUGACAAUGACAGUACCGGGAGAAUAAGCCCCGGCUAACUCCGUG
rnacentral:rRNA from 1 species